CUUAGAAUCCGCGCCGUUGGUGCUCGCGGCGUGGUUCACAUGCCGCAGUUCAACGGGAAGCAGGAGGGUGCAGCGCCGCAACGGGCGCACCUAACCUGCGCUGCCCCCGCAACGGUAAGCGGCCGAAGCCCCCAACAGGGCUUUCCUCCAUCACGACGCCACUGCGAGCCCUGCGCUCGCGGGAAGGCAUUGGAGUGUGCGCCGCCAGCCCGGAUACCGGCCAACGAGGUGGCUGCGCG
rnacentral:ncRNA from 2 species